GGGAAUCUUCGGCAAUGGGGGCAACCCUGACCGAGCAACGCCGCGUGAGUGAAGAAGGUUUUCGGAUCGUAAAGCUCUGUUGUAAGAGAAGAACGUGUGUGAGAGUGGAAAGUUCACACAGUGACGGUAACUUACCAGAAAGGGACGGCUAACUACGUGCCAG
rnacentral:rRNA from 1 species